rnacentral:rRNA from 1 species
GAUGAACGCUAGCUACAGGCUUAACACAUGCAAGUCGAGGGGAAACGAUACUGGAAGCUUGCUUCCGAUAGGCGUCGACCGGCGCACGGGUGAGUAACGCGUAUCCAACCUGCCCAUCACUUGGGGAUAACCUUGCGAAAGUAAGACUAAUACCCAAUGAUAUCCGUCGAAGACAUCUGAAGUGGAUUAAAGAUUCAUCGGUGAUGGAUGGGGAUGCGUCUGAUUAGCUUGUUGGCGGGGUAACGGCCCACCAAGGCAACGAUCAGUAGGGGUUCUGAGAGGAAGGUCCCCCACAUUGGAACUGAGACACGGUCCAAACUCCUACGGGAGGCAGCAGUGAGGAAUAUUGGUCAAUGGACGAGAGUCUGAACCAGCCAAGUAGCGUGCAGGAUGACGGCCCUAUGGGUUGUAAACUGCUUUUAUAAGGGAAUAAAGUGGGAGUCGUGACUCCUUUUGCAUGUACCUUAUGAAUAAGGACCGGCUAAUUCCGUGCCAGCAGCCGCAGUAA